AGCCACAAGUUAACAUUUGUGGUCUAACCUGCCCAAUGUGCAAUUAGAAAGAUGAAUGGCCGCGGUACCCUGACCGUGCUAAGGUAGCGUAAUCAGUUGGCUUUUAAAUGGAGUCAGGAAUGAAUGGAAUAACCGGGUUUAGCUGUCUCCUUCCUAAUCAGUUGAAUUUACUGUUCAAGUGAAAAAGCUUGAAUAAAGAAAAGGGACGAGAAGACCCUUAGAAUUUUUUUUAGUGGGAAAUUUUUUUCUAAUGAUUUUGUUGGGGCGACAUGGAAAUAUGUAAAAACUUUCCUUUGAUACUUGCCGAUUUUGUUAAGUUAGGAUAAAUUACCUGAGGGAUAACAGCAUAAUUCUACAGAUGAGUUUGUGACCUCGAUGUUGGACUAGGGAACUAGCAAGCUAGCCGUUUGUUGUGUGGGUUCUGUUCGAACUUUAAUCCCUA
rnacentral:rRNA from 1 species